rnacentral:rRNA from 1 species
UACGUAGGGGGCAAGCGUUGUCCGGAUUUAUUGGGCGUAAAGAGCGUGUAGGCGGCCAGACAGGUCCGUUGUGAAAACUAGGGCUUAACCUCUAGACGUCGAUGGAAACCGUCUGGCUAGAGUCCGGAAGAGGAGAAUGGAAUUCCUGGUGUAGCGGUGAAAUGCGCAGAUAUCAGGAAGAACACCCGUGGCUAAGGCGGUUCUCUAGUACGGUACUGACGCUGAGACGCGAAAGCGUGGGGAGCGAACAGG